UACGAAGGGGGCUAGCGUUGCUCGGAAUCACUGGGCGUAAAGGGUGCGUAGGCGGGUCUUUAAGUCAGGGGUGAAAUCCUGGAGCUCAACUCCAGAGCUGCCUUUGAUACUGAAGAUCUUGAGUUCGGGAGAGGUGAGUGGAACUGCGAGUGUAGAGGUGAAAUUCGUAGAUAUUCGCAAGAACACCAGUGGCGAAGGCGGCUCACUGGCCCGGUACUGACGCUGAGGUGCGAAAGCGUGGGGAGCAAACAGG
rnacentral:rRNA from 1 species